rnacentral:rRNA from 1 species
CCUACGGGAGGCAGCAGUGGGGAAUAUUGGACAAUGGGGGGAACCCUGAUCCAGCGACGCCGCGUGAGUGAAGAAGUACUUCGGUAUGUAAAGCUCUAUCAGCAGGGAAGAAAGAAAUGACGGUACCUGACUAAGAAGCCCCGGCUAACUACGCGCCAGCAGCCGCGGUAAUACGUAGGGGGCAAGCGUUAUCCGGAUUUACUGGGUGUAAGGGGAGCGUAGACGGCGAAGCAAGUCUGGAGUGAAAGGCGGGGGCCCAACCCCUGGACUGCUUUGGAAACUGGAUGGCUGGAGUGCAGGAGAGGUAUGUGGAAUUCCUGGGGUAGCGGUGAAAUGCGUAGAUAUUAGGAGGAACACCAGUGGCGAAGGCGGCUUACUGGACUGUAACUGACGUUGAGGCUCGAAAGCGUGGGGAGCAAACAGGAUUAGAUACCCGGGUAGUC